UUACAGGCUUAACACAUGCAAGUCGAGGGGCAGCAUGGUCUUAUCUUGCUAAGGCCGAUGGCGACCGGCGCACGGGUGAGUAACACGUAUCCAACCUGCCGUCUACUCUUGGACAGCCUUCUGAAAGGAAGAUUAAUACAAGAUGGCAUCAUGAGUCCGCAUGUUCACAUGAUUAAAGGUAUUCCGGUAGACGAUGGGGAUGCGUUCCAUUAGAUAGUAGGCGGGGUAACGGCCCACCUAGUCUUCGAUGGAUAGGGGUUCUGAGAGGAAGGUCCCCCACAUUGGAACUGAGACACGGUCCAAACUCCUACGGGAGGCAGCAGUGAGGAAUAUUGGUCAAUGGGCGAGAGCCUGAACCGGCCAAGUAGCGUGAAGGAUGACUGCCCUAUGGGUUGUAAACUUCUUUUAUAAAGGAAUAAAGUCGGGUAUGGAUACCCGUUUGCAUGUACUUUAUGAAUAAGGAUCGGCUAACUCCGUGCCAGCAGCCGCGGUAAUACGGAGGAUCCGAGCGUUAUCCGGAUUUAUUGGGUUUAAAGGGAGCGUAGAUGGAUGUUUAAGUCAGUUGUGAAAGUUUGCGGCUCAACCGUAAAAUUGCAGUUGAUACUGGAUAUCUUGAGUGCAGUUGAGGCAGGCGGAAUUCGUGGUGUAGCGGUGAAAUGCUUAGAUAUCACGAAGAACUCCGAUUGCGAAGGCAGCCUGCUAAGCUGCAACUGACAUUGAGGCUCGAAAGUGUGGGUAUCAAACAGGAUUAGAUACCCUGGUAGUCCACACGGUAAACGAUGAAUACUCGCUGUUUGCGAUAUACUGCAAGCGGCCAAGCGAAAGCGUUAAGUAUUCCACCUGGGGAGUACGCCGGCAACGGUGAAACUCAAAGGAAUUGACGGGGGCCCGCACAAGCGGAGGAACAUGUGGUUUAAUUCGAUGAUACGCGAGGAACCUUACCCGGGCUUAAAUUGCAGAUGAAUUACGGUGAAAGCCGUAAGCCGCAAGGCAUCUGUGAAGGUGCUGCAUGGUUGUCGUCAGCUCGUGCCGUGAGGUGUCGGCUUAAGUGCCAUAACGAGCGCAACCCUUGCUGUCAGUUACUAACAGGUUCCGCUGAGGACUCUGACAAGACUGCCAUCGUAAGAUGUGAGGAAGGUGGGGAUGACGUCAAAUCAGCACGGCCCUUACGUCCGGGGCUACACACGUGUUACAAUGGGGGGUACAGAGGGCCGCUACCACGCGAGUGGAUGCCAAUCCCCAAAACCUCUCUCAGUUCGGACUGGAGUCUGCAACCCGACUCCACGAAGCUGGAUUCGCUAGUAAUCGCGCAUCAGCCACGGCGCGGUGAAUACGUUCCCGGGCCUUGUACACACCGCCCGUCAAGCCAUGGGAGCCGGGGGUACCUGAAGUGCGUAACCGCGAGGAGCGCCCUAGGGUAAAACUGGUGACUGGG
rnacentral:rRNA from 1 species